CUUCCAGUAGCACCUUAGAGACCAACUAAGUUUGUUAUUGGUAUUAACUUUCGUGUGGUGUGCAUGCACACAAAAGCUCAUACCAAUAACAAACUUAGUUGGUCUCUAAGGUGCUACUGGAAG